GAUAAACGCUGGCGGCGUGCUUAACACAUGCAAGUCGAACGAAGUUUUUCCUUCGGGAGAAGCUUAGUGGCGGACGGGUGAGUAACGCGUGGGUAACCUGCCCUGUACAGGGGGACAACAGCUGGAAACGGCUGCUAAUACCGCAUAAGCCCUUAGCACUGCAUGGUGCAUAGGGAAAAGGAGCAAUCCGGUACAGGAUGGACCCGCGUCUGAUUAGCCAGUUGGCAGGGUAACGGCCUACCAAAGCGACGAUCAGUAGCCGAUCUGAGAGGAUGUACGGCCACAUUGGGACUGAGACACGGCCCAGACUCCUACGGGAGGCAGCAGUGGGGAAUAUUGCACAAUGGAGGAAACUCUGAUGCAGCGACGCCGCGUGAGUGAAGAAGUAUUUCGGUAUGUAAAGCUCUAUCAGCAGGGAAGAAAAUGACGGUACCUGACUAAGAAGCACCGGCUAAAUACGUG
rnacentral:rRNA from 1 species